rnacentral:rRNA from 1 species
AGUGGGGACGGGUGAGUAACACGUGGGUAACCUCCCAUCAGAGGGGAUAACACUUGGAAACAGGUGCUAAACCGAUACUGAUGGAUGGACCCGCGGUGCAUUAGCUAGUUGGUGAGGUAACGGCUCACCAAGGCCACGAUGCAUAGCCGACCUGAGAGGGUGAUCGGCCACACUGGGACUGAGACACGGCCCAGACUCCUACGGGAGGCAGCAGUAGGGAAUCUUCGGCAAUGGACGAAAGUCUGACCGAGCAACGCCGCGUGAGUGAAGAAGGUUUUCGGAUCGUAAAACUCUGUUGUUAGAGAAGCGGUAUCUAACCAGAAAGCCACGGCUAACUACGUGCCAGCAGCCGCGGUAAUACGUAGGUGGCAAGCGUUGUCCGGAUUUAUUGGGCGUAAAGCGAGCGCAGACGGUUUCUUAAGUCUGAUGUGAAAGCCCCCGGCUCAACCGGGGAGGGCAUUGGAAACUGGGAGACUUGAGUGCAGAAGAGGAGAGUGGAAUUCCAUGUGUAGCGGUGAAAUGCGUAGAUAUAUGGAGGAACACC